ACAGAUGUGGGCCUUGAUAUGCAGUACAAGAGUGUUUCUAUAGAUCAAUGGAUAAGCAUAUCGUCUUUUAAGGUUUCCCUUCCCUUGUGGGUGGAUUAGGAAGUGCAGUCUCCCUUUGUGUUAGGGUGCGGAAGGGAGCAAUCAAAGGCCAGUAUCACAGUUACAGUGGUGAAAUCUGGAGAAAGAAGCUUGCUAAAUCAGCCAGGGGACUAAUAGACCAGAAGAUCCAGAUCUAGAAAAGCAUGGAAGAACUUUAAGAAGAUUGUAAAUACCAGGAAAAAGUUACUGGAGAAAGAUGGAGCAUGCUGAAUCAGUAAGUUGUUUGUUCUUUUAUAUAAAUGCAUUAGUUAAAUUCUUCUUUUAUUCUAUAAAAUUCUGGUUAUUAUUAUUUCUGAAGAAAUGUUCGAACUGGUCAAUUUUUUGGUUAAUUCAUAGUUCUAUUUCUAUCCUUAACCAGUGUGUUGGACAUGAUCA